UCUCAGUGUGGGGAUGUUGUGAAGAGCUGAGACAUUCAAGAAGUGGAGCCCAGUGGGAGUCAGGAGACACCACCCUCGUUCACCCUCGGAAGGACUGAGGCUGCUGCGACUUUGCUCAAUGCUGACGAUGACUGCAGUUUAGCACCGGGGGAAGAAAGCUACGAAGGAAAUGGAUCAGAUGAAGCAAUACUGGGAGUUUAUGAAGUCUGCGCGUUUUCUUGAGGCUUCACAGGGACCGCUUUUAAACUGGCUGUCACCCAUGCAUGAAUUAUCCCCUCCACCUGGGAGGACAGAGGACGACAAGACAUACACCCACACUCAGGGCACGAGCCACGCCAGCCUCAUAAUUCUUUCUUAUGCUGCUCAAGUGUAGAGUGCCGUGAGUGCAGAGAGAGAGACCUGAUGUCCUCAGAAUUAAAAAAAAAAAAAAAAAAAAAAA